GUAAAAAGUUAUAAUCAUACAUAAACAUUUAUAAAUUGUAUAGAGAACAAUAAUAAUUUAAAAAUUUAAUAAAAAGAAGUAACAAAAUUUAUUUAUAAAAUUUAUAUAAUUAAAAAAAAACAUCGCAUUCAUAAUUACAUAAUAACAUACAAUAAUAUAAAUGUCCUUGCAAAGGAGAAUCUGAAAUUAAAAACAAAAAUAAAAUAAUUUAAAAUUAAUUAUAAUAAUAAAAACUUGUAAAAGUUAAGUAAGAAAAAUAAUAAAGAUAGUAAAAUAUGUUGUACCUCAAUUGGAUUUUUUUAUCAAUAAUUUUUUCAUUCGGAUAUCAUCACAAUAAAUUAAUUGUUACGUCACUGAUUACAAGAAAUAUCGAAGAGGAAAAUGUGCGGAGAAAAUCAUCAACCAGAGGUAAGGACAUUUUUGGAAAAUUCAUUUAUAUUUUUAAAGUAAGUUAAUGUUAUCACGUUCUUUCUAAAAAACAAUACAGUUUUAUGAAAUAUGGGACGCAGAUAAGUUGUAAGUUAUUACUUAAUUGUAUUGGAAACAUUAUUUAAUUAAACCUACAGAAAUUACUAAACAAAAUCUACUGAUGUGGCAAUUGACUAGAGUCUAAAGCAACAUUGACCAUAAACUUUAGCAAAUCAUCAUAGCAAGUCUC